rnacentral:piRNA from 1 species
UGGGUAAAAACUACAAUAAACUGAAAAAUA